ACUGCUUUAUGAUAUGGA
rnacentral:snRNA from 1 species